rnacentral:rRNA from 1 species
CCUACGGGAGGCAGCAGUGAGGAAUAUUGGUCAAUGGCCGAGAGGCUGAACCAGCCAAGUCGCGUGAGGGAAGACGGCCCUACGGGUUGUAAACCUCUUUUGUCGGGGAGCAAAGCGAACCACGUGUGGCUCAUUGAGAGUACCCGAAGAAAAAGCAUCGGCUAACUCCGUGCCAGCAGCCGCGGUAAUACGGAGGAUGCGAGCGUUAUCCGGAUUUAUUGGGUUUAAAGGGUGCGCAGGCGGAGGUGCAAGUCAGCGGUAAAAUUGCGGGGCUCAACCCCGUAGUGCCGUUGAAACUGCAUCCCUUGAGUGCGCGAGAGGUAUGCGGAAUGCGUGGUGUAGCGGUGAAAUGCAUAGAUAUCACGCAGAACUCCGAUUGCGAAGGCAGCAUACCGGCGCGCAACUGACGCUCAUGCACGAAAGCGUGGGUAUCGAACAGGAUUAGAUACCCGAGUAGUC